rnacentral:lncRNA from 1 species
GUUUCCGCUGAAUCAGAGUGGAGUCUGGGCCCAAGAAACCCGGGCUCAGAAAGGGACCCUGGGGCGAUCCAGUUGGCAACCGCUGUUAUUCCAAAGAACAGCCAUUUACCACCUGCAGGGCUGUAGUCUGCGGGUUGGACAAAGGAAACCUGGAGAUUGUGAAAGGGAGCCUGGGAUGAACAGAAAUGAGGUAAUGUCUCUUUCAAACACAGGGACUUCUGGAAGCUCAUCUAGGACUAUGACUGGACACUCCUGAAAAGUUAUGUCUAUAGAGACCGAUGGACCAGUGAUUAGAAUUUCAGUACAGUAGGGAGACUGGAAUGUUUCUGGGCCAGAGGCUAACUACCUUCUGUUGGGCUAGUUCUAGCCCUCUGGAGCAGUCAUUCCUUGCUGAUCUCUGCAAGGCCUUUAACAUAAUAGAUUAAAAACCUUUGCAGACUCACAGUCUUCGGUCAGUCCCAAAGCUAAGAAUGUCAUCCGAUAGCAUCUUGGGUGUAUAGAAAAGUCUCCCCCAUCUUGCUGUAACCACCUCUCUGAUGUAACCACCAAUAUAGUUUAAACUUGCCUUGACUUAUGUCUUUCUUUGUUCUGCAAAACUAGGAAGACUUCAUGAAACGGCUUCUACAUUGGAACAUGAGAUUUGGGGUAGUCUACAUCUGUUCAUGGGCAUGAUCAUUUCAAAUGGCUCCAAAAUAAACUGUCUUUUAUUCCCUUUAAGAUGACAGCUGUAGAUUUUGCAUUGCUAGGCAGUACUAACUGAAUGGGAUGUCAGUCGUGGUUCAAGACUUAGCAGCAUCGUGACUUUAGGAGGUCACAGAGUGUCAGCAUUUGGGGUUACAGGUAAGAGUCACAGCUCCCUACUGUUUCACUUGGCAGUGGGGGAUGGGAAUUCCCUUAGAGUUUUAGGAAUCUCAACUCAAGCCAGACCAACACUGAAAAGACUUCAGGACUAGCCAGUAUGGUAGAGUUGGGCAUUUUAUGAAAGAUCUUUAUUGUUACUAUUAUUUUUACUUAUUAAUUAUUAUUGUUGAUUUUAUUUGAGACAAGGGGUCUUUGUGUAGCCCUGGGCAUCCGAGAACUUGCUCUGUAGACCAGGCUGUCCUUGAACUUAGACCUGCUUGCUUCUGCCUCCUCAGUGCUAGGAUUUAAAGGCUUGCACCAUCACCAACCAUCAAAAGAGCUUUUUAAUACAGACUUAAGCACGACGAUGAAGAGAACCAGAAUUCACAAUUAAGAUUCUGGUAGAAUUUGCAGUCAUGACUGUAUCCAUGAGUGCUUCCACAGCAACACCUGACAUUAUAAUAGAUUAACCAAAAGCUAACCUACUGGGCUUCAGGAAGGUAGAGUACCUUUUCUAUGGGCAAAGUUGUCUGUGUUGUAAAUCAAGUGGACUAGCUCCCCCUUUAAAAGGUCCAUGUUUCUUCUCUGUCUUCCAGUGUCUCUGUCUCUCUGUCUCUAUCUCUCUCUCAUGUUCUCACAUCUGGACAGCCUUUUGUUUCCCCCCUCUACAACUAAACCUCUUGCAUUAGAUCUAUUGCACGGUGUGAUCUCUUAGUGGCACAUCUUAGCCCCAACUGCCAAAGGUACCCCCUCUGCUUUACCGUAACAGUUUGAGACUCUCAGGCAAUGAGUGACAGAAAUGAAUGAAGCCCUGCCGCCCCCGUGAUCAUGAACAUUCAAUUAUAUAUACAUGCAUGCACAAGGGAUGUGCCUACAGCCUUUACAGCGAAUGUAAUUUUAUGCUGGGAUUCUUGUUUCUCUACUGACUCUAAUCCCUCUUGUGUCCCUCAAAUCUCCCAGUCUUUCUGUCCUACCUCAAAAUGACUUCUGUGAAAAGAAGAAACUUGCAAUGAAAGCUGUGUUGAGAGAGCUUUCCAGAGUCUAGAUACCAUUAAGGCAACAGGACUGAAUCAGAUCUCAAGUCACUCUCUGGCAAUGGGCAUUCUUGGUUACCUUCGCCUUUGGCUACAGGCAUCUUGCAUGACUAGUAUUUAUGUUACAUCAGAGACUCCAGAUGGAUGCUAUGAUGUCUCUGGAGACUGGGGAGAUAGCUCGAUGGGUAAAAUGCCUCUGUACAAACACAAAGAGCCAAGUUUAGAUGCUCAGUGCCCAGUUAAAGCCAGUGUGGCAGUGCACGUCUCUAGCUCCUGUGCUGAGGUCAAAGCCAGGAGGGGCCUUGCCUACCAAUCAGUCGAGUCUAGCUAAAAGAGCAACCUCUAGAUUCAAUGAGACCCAGUCAGAAAAACUAAGGUGAAUACAUAUCUAGCCUUCCUUUGUGUAUCUAGUAUGACAUUUUUACUAUGUGUUUGGAUUAUUUUAUUGGUUUAUUGAUAAUAGGUCUGUUGGUUGAGUGAGUGAGUCAGAGUCUUACUAUCAGCCCAGGCUAAUCUAGAACGCUGUAUGUAGCCCAGAUUGGCCUUGAACUUGUGAUCCUCUUGUGACUCAGCAACCUAAGC